AAGGGCACCACAAGAACGCGUGGAGCAUGUGGCUUAAUUUGACUCAACGCAGGAAAUCUUACCGGGUCCGGACACACUGAGGAUUGACAGACAAGCGCAGUGAGAGAUUCGUCUCUCGCUGUGCAAAAUAUGAUAGCUCUUUCAUAAUUAUGUGAUAGGUGGUGCAUGGCCGUUCUUAGUUCGUGGAGUGAUCUGUCUGCUUAAUUGCGCUUCCAUACAAAGGUGUUCGCAUAAUAUAACGCGUUGUACGUCCGCGUACAUCGUAUUGUAUUGAACCCUUUAGGAAUGCAACGAACGAGACCGCAACCUCUUGUUGCACCUUCAGCUGCUCAAGGUGCUCAACUAGAGGGACAGCUGUAUUUAUUUCUUUUAGCCAGAGGAAGGAUGCGGCAAUAACAGGUCUGUGAUGCCCUCAGAUGUCCCGGGCUGCACACGUGCUACAAUGAUCAUUGCACUGCGCAUCUUCUAACCAAGCUAAUUUAUAUCCCUCACCGGAUAUAUUUUGCUAUACACACCCGAGUCGAUAGACAACCUUCUCGGGUAACCCAUUAGAAGUAAUGAUUUCCUAUAUUUCAGCACAUACAUCGUUAUGUGGUCAUGUGCAUUGCACUUCGGUGUAUGCACUCUAUGAUUACGUAACGCGUGCAAAUAUCAAUUCAUGGUGGGGACAGACCAUUGAUAAUUGUUGGUCUCGGUCUUAACUGGGAAUGCCUUGUACGAGUCGGUUCACCAGACCACUCGGAAUACGUCCCUGCCCUUUGUACACACCGCCCGUCGCUCUUACCGAUGGACUUCGCUGUGAGUUUGAGGGACUGGCCGCAUUUCGCGGCUAUAGAAACUCAAACGAACAGUGUGGUCUAAAGGAAAGAGAAGU
rnacentral:rRNA from 1 species